rnacentral:rRNA from 1 species
AUGGAUAGUGGUACCUCUAGCAAGAGACGAGUAGAAGCCCCGGGAGAGGGGGAGAGCAGCGGCAAGAGGCAGAAUGUCAGCAUGGGGAUGGACGCCCUCGACUGCCCCGUCUGCUUUCAUCCCCUCAGACCUCCCAUAUACCAGUGUUCUGUGGGGCAUUUCAUAUGCUCUUCUUGCCGUCCCAAGCUCGUGCGCAACAAUUGUCACUUAUGCUCUGCUGAAACUACCUUCAAGCGCUGUUUAGGGAUGGAACGUCUCAUGGAAUCAGUCAUGGUCGCUUGCUCCAAUGCAAAAUAUGGAUGCGCAGAGAAGCUCACCUACUACGAGAAAGAAGAGCAUGAGAAGGCAUGCCCGAGCGCCCCAUGUUUCUGCCCGGUGUCCAGCUGCAGCUUUGCAGGGCCAACAGACGCCCUCCUUGAACAUUGCGCCUCCCAGCACAAGUGGCCGUGUACAACCAUCAAAUACUCCGAAGAUGUUAACUUCAGCCUA